CAGCAGCCGCGGGAACACGGAGGGUGCAAGCGUUAUCCGGAUUUAUUGGGUUUAAAGGGUACGUAGGCGGAUCUGUAAGUCAGUGGUGAAAUCUCACAGCUUAACUGUGAAACUGCCAUUGAUACUGCAGGUCUUGAGUAAAUUUGAAGUGGCUGGAAUAAGUAGUGUAGCGGUGAAAUGCAUAGAUAUUACUUAGAACACCAAUUGCGAAGGCAGGUCACUAAGAUUUAACUGACGCUGAUGGACGAAAGCGUGGGGAGCGAACAGGAUUAGAUACCCCCGUAGUCCCUGUCUCUUAUAC
rnacentral:rRNA from 1 species